CCUACGGGAGGCAGCAGUGAGGAAUAUUGGUCAAUGGCCGUAAGGCUGAACCAGCCAAGUAGCGUGAGGGAAGAAUGCCCUAUGGGUUGUAAACUUCUUUUAUGGGGGGAUAAAGGUAUCCACGUGUGGAUAUUUGCAUGUACCCUAUGAAUAAGGAUCGGCUAACUCCGUGCCAGCAGCCGCGGUAAUACGGAGGAUGCGAGCGUUAUCCGGAUUUAUUGGGUUUAAAGGGUGCGUAGGUUGGUUUUUAAGUCAGCGGUGAAAGUUUGUGGCUCAACCAUAAAAUUGCGGUUGAAACUGGAAGACUUGAGUGUGCUGAAGGUAGGCGGAAUGCGUGGUGUAGCGGUGAAAUGCAUAGAUAUCACGCAGAACUCCGAUUGCGAAGGCAGCUUACUAAGCCAUAACUGACACUGAAGCACGAAAGCGUGGGGAUCAAACAGGAUUAGAUACCCGUGUAGUC
rnacentral:rRNA from 1 species